rnacentral:tRNA from 2 species
CAUUAAGAAGCUAUGUACCAGCACUAGCCUUUUAAGCUAGACAGAGAGGAAUUUUCCUCCUUAAUGA